CACGUAGGGGGCAAGCGUUGUCCGGACUUAUUGGGCGUAAAGAGCUCGUAGGCGGUUCGGUAAGUCGGGUGUGAAACCUCCAGGCUCAACCUGGAGACGCCACCCGAUACUGCUGUGACUCGAGUCCGGUAGGGGAGCGUGGAAUUCCUGGUGUAGCGGUGAAAUGCGCAGAUAUCAGGAGGAACACCAGCGGCGAAGGCGGCGCUCUGGGCCGGAACUGACGCUGAGGAGCGAAAGCGUGGGUAGCAAACAGG
rnacentral:rRNA from 1 species